rnacentral:ncRNA from 2 species
UGAUCUCUUGGCGAUGAGGUUCGCCCUCAACCGUCCUAUAUUUAAGAAGGACUAAUAACUUCUACUGGAUU